rnacentral:rRNA from 1 species
GUGUCAGCAGCCGCGGUAAGACGAACCGUGCGAACGUUAUUCGGAAUCACUGGGCUUAAAGGGUGCGUAGGCGGUCUGUCAAGUCAGGGGUGAAAUCCUUCGGCUCAACCGGAGAACAGCCCCUGAUACUGACGGGCUCGAGGGAGAUAGAGGCAGCCGGAACUACCGGUGGAGCGGUGAAAUGCGUUGAUAUCGGUAGGAACGCCAGAGGCGUAAGCGGGCUGCUGGAUCUCUUCUGACGCUGAGGCACGAAAGCUAGGGGAGCAAACGGGAUUAGAAACCCGGGUAGUCC